rnacentral:lncRNA from 1 species
UAGAGGCCUCCCUUCCGAGGAGGUGGCGCAGGCUGCUCGGCUACCCGGUGAGGUCCACGCGCAGCCCACCCGGCGCUCGGUUCCCCGGCCGCUGUCUCCCGCUGCAGGCGGCGGCGCCGGGCCUCGGAGGCUUCUAAUGUGAGGAAAAACAUGGAAUGACAAGUGUGGGAAAGAGCAAGCACUAAAUUACUGUCAGAAAAAUAAACGGAGCAGCACAGUGGUGCUCCGUGAUUUACGGGGGCAAUUAGUCACCACCCCACAGCGCUGCUGAGGACGGCCUGGCAGCAGACACAUCAGGCCCACGAGGAGGAAGAGGCUCUGCACUAAGCUCCAGAUGACUUUUCAAACAAGAGCAAGUCCGUGAGCACAUGAGAGUCUGUGUGUUCAUUCUGGGUGUCUACCCUUCACACUCCCCACCAGCUUGAUAAAUAAACAGACUUUUCGUGCA